AUUGAACGCUGGCGGCAGGCCUAACACAUGCAAGUCGAGCGUGCGGCGGACGGGUGAGUUAUGUUUGGGAAACUGCCUGAUGUAGGGGGUUAACUACUGGAAACGGUAGCUAAUACUGCUUACUAUCAGAUGUGCCCAGAUCGGAUUAGCUAGUUGGUGGGGUAAGGGCUCACCUAGGCGACGAUCCCUAGCUGGUCUGAGAGGAUGACCAGCCACACUGGGACGAAGACACGGUCCAGACUCCUACGGGAGGCAGCGGUGGGGAGUAUUGCACAAUGGGCGCAAGCCUGAUGCAGCCAUGCCGCGAGUGUGAAGAGGGCCUUCGGGUUGUAAAGCACUUUCAGCGAGGAGGCGUUACUCGCCGAGGAAGCACCGGCUAACUCCGUGCCAGCAGCCGCGGUAAUAC
rnacentral:rRNA from 1 species